AUUGAACGCUGGCGGCAUGCUUUACACAUGCAAGUCGAACGGUAACAGGCCUUCGGGUGCUGACGAGUGGCGAACGGGUGAGUAAUGCAUCGGAACGUACCCAGAGGUGGGGGAUAACGCAGCGAAAGCUGUGCUAAUACCGCAUGUGAUCUGAGGAUGAAAGCGGGGGACCGAGCAGCAAUGUUUGGCCUCGCGCCUUUGGAGCGGCCGAUGUCGGAUUAGCUAGUUGGUGGGGUAAAGGCCUACCAAGGCGACGAUCCGUAGCUGGUCUGAGAGGACGACCAGCCACACUGGGACUGAGACACGGCCAAGACUCCUACGGGAGGCAGCAGUGGGGAAUGUUGGACAAUGGGCGCAAGCCUGAUCCAGCAAUGCCGCGUGCGGGAAGAAGGCCUUCGGGUUGGAAACCGCUUUUGGCAGGAACGAAACGGUGUCCGCUAAUACCGGGCGCUAAUGACGGUACCUGCAGAAUAAGCACCGGCUAACUACGUG
rnacentral:rRNA from 1 species